GAAGACCAUGACAGUACUGAUUCUGGGUGGACCAAGAAGCCACCCAGGUCCCCACUCUUUGCUCUACCUCCCAGGCUGGGCAGCUCUGCUGCAGGCCGUGAGACCCACUGAAGCAUGUAGCAGGGAUGCAUCUGGGCAGGAUUGGGGUGGACAGGAGGAGGUGAAGCAAGGCCCAGAGCCUACAGAAGUUGCUGUGGAGGCCCAGCCAGCACCAGGAGGGCCUGCACCCCUCCCGAGCCAGCGCAACAGGAAGAGGAAACCUGGGCUCCCACUGCCCUGCCUGGGAGCCAGUGAGUCCCCUCCAUCAAGCCUGUGGUCAGCCUUCAAAGUCCUGACCCGACACCUCCGGGCGGUCCUCACAAUUCCCAGGUUAGCAGUGCUUUACCUGGGUGCCCAGGGCACCUGACCCACAGGAUGAGACUUUGGUUAGUCUCUCCUGGGCUCAAAUCCGAGCUCCACUUACAAGUCACAUGAUCUUGGUUGGGUGAACUCUGCCUCAGGUGCAAAUGUUGCUUAGAGAACAGCAGCCAGAAGUCCCCAGACGGCAACAACGGAUGCUCCCGUGGGACUCCCAGAGCAGCCAAGGAACAGCCUCAUGUCUGCUCAGCACCACCUCCUUCAACUCACCUCCCACCUCCAGGUCCAACGCGAGCCACUCAGGAUCAGAAAUGCAGAGCCCGCUGGCCAGAUGCUGGGACAGUUUCACACUCCCUGAAGGCAGAGACCAGAACCAGCUCCUCAUUCUCCAGGGUCAGCAGGAUGUGAUGUCUUGGCACAGUUCACCUCCACUAGACAGAGAAGGGCAGUGGAUGUGGGGGGUGGCGGAGGUUCCCACGUGAGCAGGAGCACCUCCAAAUCCUGACCCAACACCCCACCCUGCUCUAUAGUAGAGCCAGCCCAGGAUGGAUGCAGUGCUCAGCUGGACCAAGGGGCAGCCAAAGGAGCCUUGUCCUGGGAAGGACAGUGGAUCCCUCCUGUCCUCAGCCCACAGGAGACUAAGGCACAGAUGUGCUAACCAUCCACCUCUAUGCCAGAUUUACUCCCACGAAAGCAGACACCACCCGGGAAGGCUGCUGCCUCCUGCAGUCCCAUCUUCUUUUCUCUAGAAGGGUCAACAGCUUGGGCCACCCCCAUUUACUUGCAAGAGACCCUGUGAGGGUGGCACAAGCAGUCUCUGCGCAGAGGGACAUGGUGCUCUGCCAGAAAGCCCUUGAUCCAAACAACUUUAUGAGCCGUCCAUCUAAAAGCAUCAAUGAGAACUGCAUCUGCUGUGUGUCCUCCUAGACAGAAGGCGGAGGGACAGGCCUCCUGGGAAAGCUCAUGCUUCCUGCCCCGCGGAACUGACCUCCCGAGACAGAUCAGGAGUCUUCGUUCUGAGUUUCCUGGGGGAUGAACUUCUGCAUCACAAUCACAGCUGCCUAGAUUCCAGAAUCCCACCGUUCAGGGGGCAGAUGCAGGCCGGCAGACAGAGACAGAAAGAAAGAGAUCUCUCAGUAACCCAUCCUCCCCUGAAAGGCAGUGUCGGGAGGCUCGAAGUUCAGAGCUGUGUCUGAUUACUGACCCCAGAACCACCCUGUCCCAGGACCAGCAGAGUCCAAGCUUUCGGAAAAGAAUCAGGACCCCCAGACCCUGACGGCUGCACUCCUGUGAUUACAGACUCCAGGGCUCCCGCUGAGCUGAGCCUCCAUCACCAUAACCGCAAUACAGAAGGACAUGGGGCUUCACCUGCCUCCCCGGCCCACCACCCACACAGGUUCGGCUGCACAAGGCCCCCGCUGGAGGCCCCAUCGGACCGCCCAGACACAUGGGGGCUGCCUGACGUCUACCAGCUGGUUUUGCAGAUGAUCUGAGCUCCUCGUGGGGCCUCCUGGACUUGGACCUUUAGGCAGGACUUUCUGAGCACCACAGAAGCAUGAAGAGAACAUGUUAAGCACCCAGUUAACUGGGAAACCAAGGGGGAAAUCUGAAGAACACAGUCCUGCCCUAACUCCAGCCUCUACCCAGCAAUGCUGGCAAAGUAGCCAAACCUGACUGUGCGACUCCACGGAGCUAACACCCCUGCUCCCCACAGACACAGUCAAAGGUUGGUAUGUCCAUACAGUGGAAUAGUACUCAAUAAGGAAAAGGAAGUACUGACAUACGCAAGAGCACAGCUCAUACUAGCACAACACUGAUGGAAAAGCCAGAUCAAAAGAGAAUGUACUGCAUGACUUAAUUUUAUAUUAAGUUCUAGAAGCAAAACUAAUCUUCAGCCCAAAAAAACCCCCAUAAACCAUCAGAAUAGUGGUUACUGAGGUGGGGGUAGGGCUCCUAUCUAGGAUACUGGAAACCUAUAUCUUGGUCCAGGUGAUUACACAGGUGUUCUCAUGCCCCAAAACUUCAGCUUACACUUAAGAUUAGUGAACAUUAUACACGUGUGCAAUACAUAUGUAAUAAACAUAAUGUACACAUACACAGUUUAGAAGGUUUUUAUGGCAAAGCCCAUUAAUGUUCAAAUGAUAACUGACAUUUACCUAAAAGUGAGGACACGAGGCCCAUUCACAAACUUCAGGACCCAUCUCAAAUUGUCCCCAUCCUGUGCACUAACUAAAAGCACAUAUUGCUGAGCUUCCCUUCACAAAAACCGAUCUUUAAACUGGGAGGUGCUCUUGGAGGACUGCAGGAACUUAUUGCAUCAAGCAUCGGUUAGUACAUGCUCAGCAAAUACCUGGCAACUGCCUAACACAGUCUACACACACACACACACACACACACAUGUGCACACACAGAGCCCAAAUUAAAUGCCAUCUCAGCAAAAGAUGACAGUGUCCACCCCUAAAUAGGGUGUCUAUUCUUCUCAGGCAACAGGAUCUAGGCACUCUGCUUAUUAUCAAGAGGAUCGUUUUCAGCAUGCUCUGUCCAACCCUCCUCCUUUGACACAAAUCACAGCCAGAAGAGAUCAGAGGAGUCCAGAGCAAACAGUCUCCGGUGCCCACCCCAGGAGGCUGCCUGCUCCUUUUCAGGUCACCUCUGCCUGCAUGGCUCCUGCCCAACCCAGGGGUGGAGCAGGCCCACGUGAGCUCCCAGGAAACUUUUUAUCAGGUGUAAUGUUUAAACUUGGCUGCUCCCCACCCCCCCCACCCAGCUGGCCUGCUAUCCACUGGGGUUCCCCGUGUUCUGGCAGCAAUGCCACUGCACCUGAUGGGGAAGGGCACCACCCACUGCCCCCCAACCCCUGCCCAGGCCUCCGGCUCCUUCCUAGGCACCUCCACCUUGGACUCUCUGGACCCCGACUUUUGCAGGGAAAGAGACUAGAAACUUCACCUGCACAGGUCGACGUGGGUGUCCACAGGCCGGAAGUGGAAUUCCAGCUCCACAAAGCCCACAAAUGGAAAGAGAAAGGGCUGAAAGGCACUUGCACCAAGAGAGCUCUCCCUGGGGGUGGUAGGUUGGGGGACAAAUAUGGAUGAUUUUCUUUUUCCCCUUCAAGUAUUUUUGGGGCUUUUCAAGUUCUCACACUGAAUAAACUCUUUGGCAAGACAAA